AUGGGAGGGAAAGAAUUCGAGCUACGGAGAGGAAAAAAAAAAAAAAUAACCGAAAGCUGGAGGCCGGGUGCCGUGAGUUGUAGGUUUCCGGAGAAGGGGAGGAUGGAGCCGAACAGGUCCGGAGCUGACGUCAUUAGAAACCUCGAUUUUGUUUUUCUAGUCACGGGGAUGGCUCUACAGAGAAGUCACUACACGGUGUGGAAGAAAUGCCAGAAGCUGUCUCCAGCCCGUGGAAAUAACUAGGGAAGAAAGGAGGAGACCAUUGGCCAAAGGGAGGCAUUAUGGACUUCCGGCCACGGGAGCGGGUCAUCUCCUCCUCCCAUCAUGGACGGAAGAGGAACUCCCAUCAAAAGCCGUCAGAUGACUGUAGCGUCAGCUGACCUCUGACUGCGUUCUCACAAAAGACCUUGUGCCACAACAGCCCGGUCCAGCUGCUCCUGAAGUCCAGCUUCACAAAAACUACAAGAGAUAAUAAAUAUGCAUCAUUAAG
rnacentral:lncRNA from 1 species